rnacentral:lncRNA from 1 species
AAACAUUGCAUGACGGGCACAUCAACGUACAUGACAAGUACAUCAGGGUACAUUGCUCAGUACCUUUUCAGUUUUUAAGUACCUCGUGAAAAAAUCAAGAUUGUGUACAUCAACUCGUAACAAUACGUCAUGUACCAGGAAAAAAAAUACCAAAACCGUGUACAUCAAUCUCAUGUACCAAGAAAAAAAUCACAGUAUGAAACAUAUACCUCGUUAAUGCUUACUGCCUCAUCUGUAAAUCAAUUGUGGUACUUCAUGUACCAUAAAAAAACAUAGUAUAAGCAUUCGUUAAAACUUAGUACCUUGUCAUGUACCAAUGGUAAACGUUAAACUUAUCACGUACAUCAACACAUAGAAUGUUACAUUAAUAUGCAUCAAACAAAUCAUAUCAAGUUUUCUUCUUGCCCGUACUCUUAACUCAAAGAGAAAACCAAGAAAUCCAAAAGCAAAAUAACAAGAUCUAGCCUCUUUAUGGUACAACAAAUACGGAGUACAUAUUUAGUAUGAGAUAGAAGCUCACCAUCGAUGAUGGAUCUAGAAGAAAGAGAAGAACAUAAAAAAAAACUAUUUGCAGAUGAAUCUACGAACCACGCUUCCCUCAUGGUACCACGGAUAGGGGAGGAGUACGGGAGAUAGAGGUGGAGCUUGGGCACGAUGGUGGAGGUCGGCCGCGAGGGAGGCGGUGGAGAUCUAGCCUCCUUCAUCUGCUCCUCCUCCGUCUGGCUGCUCCCCACGGCCGCGAGGGCAGCGGCAGACCAACAGUAGACGGCAUGGGCCGGCCAUGCGGGGCUGUUGUAUAAGCACGAGGAGAGAGAGAGAGGAGAGAAAGAAGGGGCUGUACGUGGUGGGGGACAGAGAGGAGAGAGGGAAGAAGAUAAAGAUUAGGCUCCAGAUGGGUGGCAGAGAGACUAUCAGGUGGAUGGCAGGGGAUUAAGAAAACGAAUAGACACGUGUUGGCCA